AGCAGCCGCGGUAAUUCCAGCUCCAAUAGCGUAUAUUAAAGUUGUUGCAGUUAAAAAGCUCGUAGUUGAAUUUCGGGAUCAAUUAAUUGGUCGUGCCUCUGGUACGUACUGGUUUUAUUGGUUUCUCCCUUCUGACGAACCAUGAUGUCAUUAAUUUGGUGUCGUGGAGAAUCAGGACUGUUACUUUGAAAAAUUAGAGUGUUUAAAGCAAGCUAACGCUUGAAUACAUUAGCAUGGAAUAAUGAAAUAGGACGUUUGAUCCUAUUUUGUUGGUUUCUAGGAUCGACGUAAUGAUUAAUAGGGAUAGUUGGGGGCAUUAGUAUUCAAUUGUCAGAGGUGAAAUUCUUGGAUUUAUUGAAGACUAACUACUGCGAAAGCAUUUGCCAAGGAUGUUUUCAUUAAUCAAGAACGAAAGUUAGGGGAUCGAAGACGAUCAGAUACCGUCGUAGUCUUAACCAUAAACUAUGCCGACUAGGGAUCGGAUGAUGUUAAUUUUUAAUGACUCAUUCGGCGCCUUAAC
rnacentral:misc_RNA from 1 species